GACGAACGCUGGCGGCGUGCCUAAUACAUGCAAGUAGAACGCUGAAGGAGGAGCUUGCUCUUCUGGAUGAGUUGCGAACGGGUGAGUAACGCGUAGGUAACCUGCCUGGUAGCGGGGGAUAACUAUUGGAAACGAUAGCUAAUACCGCAUAACAGUAGAUGUUGCAUGACAUUUACUUAAAAGGUGCAAUUGCAUCACUACCAGAUGGACCUGCGUUGUAUUAGCUAGUUGGUGGGGUAACGGCUCACCAAGGCGACGAUACAUAGCCGACCUGAGAGGGUGAUCGGCCACACUGGGACUGAGACACGGCCCAGACUCCUACGGGAGGCAGCAGUAGGGAAUCUUCGGCAAUGGACGGAAGUCUGACCGAGCAACGCCGCGUGAGUGAAGAAGGUUGUCGGAUCGGAAAGCUCUGUUGUAAGAGAAGAACGAGUGUGAGAGUGGAAAGUUCACACUGUGACGGUAUCUUACCAGAAAGGGACGGCUAACUACGUG
rnacentral:rRNA from 1 species